UGGGUGGUGGUGCAUGGCCGUUCUUAGUUGGUGGAGUGAUUUGUCUGGUUAAUUCCGUUAACGAACGAGACCUUAGCCUGCUAACUAGUCGCGGCGAUCUCGAUCGUCGUCGGCUUCUUAGAGGGACUUUGUGGCUCUAAACACAAGGAAGUUUGAGGCAAUAACAGGUCUGUGAUGCCCUUAGAUGUCCUGGGCCGCACGCGUGCUACACUGACGCCUACAGCGAGUACUUCCCAGCCCCGAGAGGCGGCUGGUAAUCAGCAAUAGGCGUCGUGAUGGGGAUAGAUCUUUGGAACUCUGGAUCUUGAACGAGGAAUGCCUAGUAAGCGCGGGUCAUUAGCCCGCGCUGAUUAAGUCCCUGCCCUUUGUACACACCGCCCGUCGCUCCUACCGAUUUCGAGUGGUCCGGUGAAUCUUUCGGACUGACGCGGCGGCUUCGUGCCGUGUCGCGGGAAAGUCAGGUAAACUUUAUCACUAGAGGAAGGAAAAAGUCGACCAGC
rnacentral:rRNA from 1 species